rnacentral:rRNA from 1 species
AAUGAACGCUGGCGGCGUGCCUAACACAUGCAAGUCGGAUGUGCCGCAAGGUGCAUGGCAGACGGGUGAGUAACGCGUGGGGAAUCUACCUUUUAGUGGGGAAUAACGCUCCGAAAGGAGUGGUAAUACCGCAUGAGACCUUUGGCUGGGAUGCUGGAGGUGAAACCUGGGGACCGCAAGGCCUGGGGCUAGAAGAGGAUCCUGCGUCUGAUUAGCUAGUUGGCGGGGUAAUGGCCCACCAAGGCGACGAUCAGUAGCCGGCCUGAGAGGGUGAUCGGCCACACUGGAACUGAGACACGGUCCAGACUCCUACGGGAGGCAGCAGUGGGGAAUUUUGCGCAAUGGACGAAAGUCUGACGCAGCAACGCCGCGUGGGUGAUGAAGGUCUUCGGACUGUAAAACCCUGUCGUCAGGGACGAAGGUGGCAGAGUUAAUAGCUCUGUU